UUCAUUAGAGGUCGUCAUCGAGGUUCCACUCGUCGUUCUUUGUUCGUUUUCGACGGAGCCAACUUGUUAUUCAUUGUGAUUGAAUCUAAGAUUUGUUGAAUUUUUGAUCAUUGGUUUUGUUGCUUGUUUUCCGUCGCGCGACAUGAUGUACAUUUUUGUUGGGGUCGAUUCAAUAAUCGAAUUCCAAAAAAGCAUUUUGCUGCUCUAAAUUGGUUCGCUACUUCGAGUGCUCGUCUGAGAACUAUAUCGAGUGUGGUUCGAGGUAGCCGGAGGUAGCUAUUCGAGGUCCCUGUUCCGUCAUUCAUUCAAGGUUCUGUCCGCGGAUCUGAUUCGCCGCUGAGGCUUGACGUUCGCUGUUGUGUUAUUCGGCUUGUCGGAGGUUCGGUCGGUAGCCUUUCCUUUACGCAAGGUCACUGUAGGUACAAAGUCUGUUGAAGGCUUCAUUGGAGCAGGGCUCAAUAUUCUGCUGCAAUUAGCAUGUAUUUGGCUUCCUUGUCUUCAAAAUUAAGUCCUUGAGCAUAUAGGUAUGAUCCUCACUCAACUACCCUAAGAUCUUUUCUAGAUAGUAAAUCAUGAGCUUGUUUAAUUCAUGUAUCGCUAAUGCUAGCAUUUAUUUGUGUGUAUAAAUACGAACGAUGAAUAGAAUCUGGUUAAAUCUAAUUGGAAUCCAUUUAUUGGUUAAAUUUUCAUUGCUUGAAAUGUGGAUAAUUUGCUAAUAUUCAUGUGACAGUAGCUAUCCGUGAGAAUUGACGGAAAGAGUAUGAAUUGGGUUUUCUUUUUAGUGUUGAAUACAGUUAAGCCUCUGUUGCAAACAUGGUUAAGUUUUUUUUUUUUUUUUUGCCGUUUCUUUCCUUCUUCAAUAAAUACUACUCAAAACUUUAUUUGGGUAGGAUAAUUUAUAAAAUGAGCUAUGAUCGAAAGUUUCAAAUCACUUAUGAUAUCGUAAAUUAUAGUUUUAUUUGGCUUUACCAAGGUUAAACUAUGUUAGGCCCAACAGCAUCACAAAUGUGAAUUAAAGCGGCGAAUACGUGAUUCAAUAAUAACUCAAAUUUGGCUUAGUUGAUUGUAUAUCUUUCCUUAGAUUCCGAGGUGUGCCAUUUAGCAAAUUCCAUGGCUCUCGCAAAUUAUAAAAUGCUGAAUUACUUUAGGCACGUUAGUUAAUAAUAAUUACUUUCUUAAACUCGAGUGUGCAUUGAUGCGACCCAAAUCCAAAUUUCGACAAAGUCAAAAUGUGUUGAUAAUCACGGGUGCCUUGAUGGUGACGGGGUUAGAAAAGCGUUUUCAUGACAUCGUAAUUCUUAUAAAAUAAAUAUUGAUAAAAAAAGGGUUGAACAAAAAUAAAUGUGGGCCCUCAAUAUUUGGUUAUUGAAAAUGAUUAGAAUUCAGAAGGGUCGUUUAGCAAAUUUCAACGGCCUUUCCCAAACAAUAUUACGUUAGAACCUUUAAGCGCGAUUUAAUUAAUUUAUGUUCUUAUAUUCGGGUUCCAAUUGAUGCGACCCAAAUCCAAAUCUCGAUGAAGUCGAAAUAUGUCGAUGACUACGGGUGCCUUGAUGGCGACGUGGUCAGAGAUGUGUUUUCACGACGUUGCAAGUGUUUUAAAAUAAAUAAUGGUAAAAGCGGUCUAUAAAUAGAAGGCACAUAAGUUAGCAUGUAUUAAAAUCAGAUAAAGUCAAAUACAAUAGUUAAGCGACCAUGCUAGAACCACGGAACCCGGGAAUGCCUAACACCUUCUCCCGGGUUAACAGAAUUCCUUAUCCGGAUUUCUGGUUCAUAGAAUGCAAUACAGAGUCAAUCUUUUCCUCGGUUCGGAAUUAAACCGGUGACUUGGGACACCAUAAAACUCCCAAGUGGCGACUCUGAAUCUUUAAUAAUCAAAUCUCGUUCCUGUCGACGCCCCCCUUUUUGAAAGGCGAAAUCGGGUUUCAUGACAUUAUGGGCAAAACAACUCUAUUUCUCGUUUCGGAAUUGGGUCAUGGAAAUUGGAAGAGUCGCCUCCUAAUGAUUAUAGUGCAUUAGGACACUUUAAGAGAGUGUUUUUUAGGAGAGAAACCAGAGUUGGGUAAGGGCUUGAAAUUAUCUCGAGGGGAAGGUGUCAGGCACCCCUCAAGAUCCACAAAUGUGGUUCCCGGCCAUGCUUAUUAUGACUUUACAAAAAAGAUGAAGCAAGUAGACACAUGAAGUACAAGUAUUCACAUAAUUUGAGAGCUUUAAAUAAAAGGACAUAAUUUUGAAAUAAAAGAGGAUUAGUUCGGAAAGCAUUGAAAAACAAUAAAGCACAUAGAAAAGAAAGGAGGGUCCUAGGUUUAACUAUAAUAUGUAUCAUUCGAUGCAAUAUCUAGCUCAUAUUCCCAAAGAGGGGUCGCUUCAUGAUAUUAUCGCAUNNNNNNNNNNNNNNNNNNNNNNNNNNNNNNNNNNNNNNNNNNNNNNNNNNNNNNNNNNNNNNNAGGGGUCGCUUCAUGAUAUUAUCGCAUCGUCAUCAUCUCCAUAUUCUACCCUUCCCCACCCCGUAGAGGUUAUUUAAGCGUGUGGAUUGAUCACGAAUACUUAUUUUGUGCUAUUACCCGUCCCAUUCUAUAAAUCCUAGAGGGCAUUUAGGAUCACUAUUCCUAUAAGGUAGGAACUAGGCUUGAACCCCUAGGUUUAAUGGUUAAAACACUAAGUGACAUACAAAAGAAAAUAGGAGUUGCACGUAAAGGAAUCAUUUAAAACAUAUAAAGGCUCAAAUAUCCCUCUAUAAACGAACACGUAAUGAGCACGACUCAAAGACAAUCAAGGUCUAAGGCAAGAAAGAGUUUUUAAAGCUAGAGUACAAGUUUAACAAAAACAAAAACUAGAGAGUUUUGCAGAAAAGAGUUGUGAGGAAAACGUUCAAAAACUUUAAAAAAGGCAAUAGCAGUUUUUAGGAAUAUGCAAAAAUCACUUAAAAGCAUUUGUUGGAAUAUAUGGUAGAACAAUUUCCGGACUGGCAGAGUAAAAACAAGUGUGAAGAUAUAUAUUUAAGAUUGCAAAAGUGUAAAGAAAACAUAUCAUCUUUUGAACUUUCAAAAUUACAGUAUUAAGAUAGUUCAAAAUAGUAGUCUAAUUCUGGACGAUAGAAACCUUUGCAUAGAUGGUUUAACAAUAGGGCAGAAGUAUAAAAUUUUAGCGAGCUUCAGAGACAAACGAUUCAGAUAGAGGCGGAUUAAUAAGAACACGACUUAAAGGUGAUUAGUCAGUUUUUUUCUGGCCUAAGGUUUUCCCAGGCGUUAUUAAAGAUGUGAGCAUACAAUGGUUGCCAAUUUUAUCCAAAUUAGCGAGGCGUUUAAACAGCUGCAAAUGAAAUCCUAAUGGCAUGAUAUCUAAUACACAAGAAGUCCUAUAAGCAUGGUAUCUAAAUGUGAUGGUGAUAACUUAUUGAUUAUUGAUUGGUUACGAUUAUGAAAAAAAGUACGGAAUAACAACUGGGAGUGAAAGGCCUAGAAACAUGAUUUCUAUAUGCAGCGAUGCAUGUCCUAAAGCAUGGAAUCUAAUGCACAAGCAAGUAAAUAAGCCCUAUGGACAUAUUUUCUAUCCAUCCUCUUAACUAAGCAUGCAUAACCCUCCCAAUUUCACUAUUAACCCCAUUAUUCUUUUACAAGUUAUUACAGACCAAUUUUUCUACCCGUUCCCUUAAUUAAACAUUCAUUACCCUCCCAAUUUCACUAUAAAUCCCAUUAUUCUUUUACAAGUUAUUACAGACCAAGUAAUUAAAAGUACAAUAGUGAGAAAAGAAAACAAAAAGUUACUCUAUGGAGAGCCUUCAGCCAGGCCCAAACAUCUCCAACCUCACUUCUUUCAAAUUUCACAGCCAGCACCAAGGUUUGGGUGCGGCAAAGCUCCCUAAGGGUUCGUUUGAACCCCUGGCCAAUACCAGGAACCAAAAAGAUGUCCCAAUUGGUCAAUUUCAAACAUUGAACGCCAGCCUUAGCCAUCAAAGUUCUAUGGGUCCUCAAGGCUCCCAUGGCAGUGCUUACACCAAGGAGGCAGGACCUAUGGUUCUAAAAGUAGUGAAGUUGGGAUAGGAAUUUAAAACAAUUGAGAGUCAACUUAAGAAAAAGAGUUGGGAAACAGUUUGAGAAAGUAGUUUAAGAGAAGUUAAGAAAGAGUUUAAGAAAACAGUUGGAAGAGUUGCAAAAUCCUUCUGAAAAUAAAACAUGUAGACUGACCAGUUUUGAGACCAACAGAGCAUCACACGACGAAGGACAAGGGGAAGGGAACAAAUAAGCAAAACAAACUAAUCACAGGCAACACAUGGGUAGACAGUAACUAGACAUGGUUUUAGAAUAAAUAGGGGUUCAGUUCUUACUGCACCAAACCCCCAUACACUUAACCUCAGGAAGAGGUUUUAGGCUGAUCAAGUAGCCUAGCAGCCCUGGACACAUAGUAAUAAUGCACAAAGAAAAGUAAACAUUUAUUGAGACAGGGGAGGAGUAAGGGGAGCAUGCUAAUUUAAGCUAAAUAGGCUAGCAAGUGUAUACUAGUGACAACAAGAGCAGCAGAACCAUAGAUAAAAGCACACAAAAAACAAGAAGAAAUGCAAAACUGGUAAACGCAUGUUGUUUUGGAAACUGUAUAUAUUAAAUAGGUAAGAUACCAGUUGCAGGCAGAGAACACAAUAACAAUAAGCAGUAGUGCACAAUAAAUAGCAAAGUAUGCAGGGAAUGAGAGCAGCAAGGUGAGAGUAACAGUGUGCAGCAAAGGGAGCAGUAGGCAAUGUGCAACAAAGUGUGCAGCAAACAGAGCAGCAGGCAAACCCAAGCAAAUAAUGUAGCAGAACCUUAGUAGUGCAGAAGUAAACGGCCAAAAUUACUCAAUCUUGGCUUUCAGCCGAUUGAGUGAGAGAGUUUGUAGGAAAAAAAACAAAACAGUACAGAGAUAGAGAGCACUGAGUGUUACUGAAAGAAAGUUCAGAGGGAAUAUAAUGCCUCAGUAUGAGAGAUAUGUAAUGUGUUGGUUUUGAAAGAAGGUUUAGAGAAAUUGUGCUCGUUUCUGAUGAGAACAGAAGAGUAGUUCUUAAAGCUUUUGAAAUUGUAGAGAAUAGGGUAGGGAGUGUACAAUUAUAGAAGCAAUAUCAAAUUAAAUCAAUCAUAGGUCCUAAUUCAAAGAAAUUAGGGAAUCAAAAUUCGAAUGAGAAUGUAGGCUAUCAAAUAAGGAAAAAGUCAGUUGAAUAAUUGACUAUCCAUAUCGAAAGAAAUAGGCAUGAUGUACAUAAUAAAGGCUAGGUACACAACAUUACAAACAAGGCAAAUAUAUGUUGAAUAACAAAAUAUAUUUAAUUGCACAAAUAUGGAAAGAAAUAUAAAUUAACUAUGAAAAAUUAGUCAAAGAAUCAUGAGCAAGACCAAAAUCAGAGGGAAUCUCACAAGUAAGGAAAUAAUUCAAACAUGGCAAGAAAUAUAAAUUAACUAUGAAAAAUCAGUCAAAGAAUCACUGACAAGACCAAAAUCAGAGGGAAUGCUAAUAAGUAUGGAAAGCAUAUCUAAAUAAGGAAGUAAUUCAAAAGAAAUCAGUGUAAACGUUUGAGGAAAAUUACAUACAAGUCAUGGAUUCAUAGAGAUGCACAAAUCAGUAGAAUAUCACAUGAGCGAUGAACAAUUAGCCCUAUAAAGCAUAACUCCGUUUUUCUCAUUUCAUGCUUCUUCUUGUUUCAUUAUAAGUGCGUGGUGUGUUUGAGUUGAUUUGCAUUAGUAUUGGUGAAAAAUGAGACAGAACCCUAAGCAAGGAAACAUGGAAGCAACAAAGGGUCGGAACCCUAGCAAGAAACUAAAGCAGGGAACUCAAAUUGACAAGGAAACCCGACAAACUCGUAACAAAAAAAGGUACAAACGAACACAUAAUAUUCACGAAAAGCAGAAGAUAUACGAUCUUGAAAAGGGAUGAAAAACCCUAGCCAGAAAGUUUAAGUAUGGAAAUCAAAAUUAACAAGGAAACUAAAAACUCAUAACACAAACAACCAUAUAAUACUCAAGAAAAGUAGGAGAUAUAGCGACUUUGAAAAGGGUCAGAAACCCUAGUUUUGAAAAAGAGGUACAGAAUGUUUGAAAAUUUUGACUUAACCAAAGAUAUCGAGUCAGAUAUAGUGUAGAAACAAAGAUUAAACCGGAAAUUGCUUAGAAAGACAGAAGUUUAAGAGAUUAGGCAAAGCAAAUUAGGGUUUGCAAAUAUGUUAGGGAAAUGAGAACCUGGCUGUGAAACUCGUAUAUAAUGCCAUAGAAUGCAUCAUCUGACAAAAACCACCGGAGAAAGGCCGGAAAUAGACCCCAAAUAAAGCUUCAGUGACCUCUUUCAUGGCGGAAGCUGCUGGCUUCAAACCUUAGAGAGAAAAUAGCGAUACAAGGACUACAUGGUCGCUGGAGAUCGAGAGAAGUGAAGGAGGAGUGAGCCGGAGAGGCGAGGGUCGUCAUCGGAGAAGAAGGAGAGAACCAGAAGGCUCUAAAGAGAUGAGGGUUAGAGAGCAUAGGUUAGAGAGAUAGAGAGACGGGCUGGUGAAAUGAGGGUUUGGGGGUGUUGUUUGAUUUAAUUAUGGAAAAGAGAUUUGGGCCGUUGAUCUUAUUUGAUCAACGACUCAGAUUAAAUCUGAGGCGGGUCAGGUAAAUUAAAAUGGUGUGGGUCAUUGAAUUGGGUUUGGAAUUUUGGGCUGAAAAUAGGGGUGUAAUUGGGCCAUAUUUUAAAUGAAAUGUGGCUAUCUUCUAAAUAACCAAUUUUCCUCAAAUAUGAUUUUAUAAAAAUAGCAAAAAAUUUAUAAAAAAUUCAAUAAAAUUACUGAGACACUAAAAUAGGCUUAGGAACGGAAUAAAAAUAUCAAGAAUGAUUUUUCUCUUGAAAUACUUAUUAAAUUGAGAAAAUAGGCUAAAAUUGCAAUUUAAUGCAAUUUUAGUUUUAAACUACUUCAUGGCUCUGUAAAAUCCUAUAAAAAUUAUAUAAAUUAUAUUUUUAUGCAAAUGAAAGAAUAAAUAAUUUAUUUGCUAAAAUAGCAAGAUUUGAUACCAAAUAUUGAAUUUUAUAGUACAAAAAUGAGCUGUAAAUCAAUUUUCAAAAUGCUUGAAAAAUCAUAGAAAAAUACCAAACCCUUUGUGGAUGCUUGUAUAUGCAUUCACAAGCUAUUUUGAAAAUAUUUUAGGUACAAAAAUACGUAGAAAAAAAUUGGGUAUCAACAGUUCCGAUUGUCCUUAUGUGGAAAAACUCCUUUACGCCCUUUUGCGGGGGUGUAUAGCGGAAAAAGGAGGUGUGACAUUGGGUAGUAACCAUGAGUUUAAUUUAUAAGACCUAAGUGUUGAUCAUGAACUAGAUUGACUUCUUGAUUGCUUGACGAAUUGGACUAGAGGUUUAAAGGGGAUAAUCAACUCCAUGUAUGUAUGUCUAACUCUGAAUCAUGCGAAAUCGCCCUGUUUUGGUAGGUGAAAUUGCUUAAUAAUUGGCAUCCAUUUGGGGAUUGUUGUGUAAUUCUUGUGAGUGUUGUUCGUGUGGUAACACCUUGUGGUGGAAGUUGAGGAACUUGUAAUGGAAAGAGUUUGGAAAUGGUGGAAAUGGAAAUAUUGUGGAACAACGUGUAUGAUUGGUUGUGAAUAAUUGUUGUGGUAACCCAAAUUGCUUACGAAUUGAUGAACACGAGGAAACUAUUGUUGUUGGUUUUGAAAUAUCUUACACAUUGUAGUGAUUUCUUUCUAGUAAGUGGUACUGUUGAUUCUUUGAAAUUUUUGUGUUGCUUGUUGUUUGUAAAUUGAAACUGUCAGGCGAGGUCGGGUUGCACGCCGUAACACGGUAAAAUAAGGUGUGGGUUGGUGUGAUAAGGCUGGUCGAGGUAAUAAGGGUGGCCGAGGCAAUAAGGAUGGAAAAGUGAUAUAGUAUCACUAUUGAAAUGAAUUGAAACUGCGAAAUGGUUAAUGUGAAAUUGUGAGAGGCGACAGCAGGAGAGUUUGAAACCUGUAGGGCACUGAUUGCCCCUUUGUUUGGCUAAUUGAAUUAUCCGUUGUGAAGUGUUUAGUUGUUGUUUCUAUUGUUGUUCAGCUGUUUAUCUGUUUAUGUAUCCUUUGACUUGAGUUUACUAGAGACAGGGUUUGUUAAUACAUACCACUGCAAUUCCAAUGUGCUGACGUUCCUUUUGCCGUGGGCGCUACAUUCGUAUUAUGAUUGUAGGUGGAUCCGUGACAGGCACUCAAGUCUGUCGUUCGUAGCUCCUCCUCC
rnacentral:lncRNA from 1 species